GACAGAGGCCUCGAGCGUUAGGCGGAAUCACUGGGCUUAAAGCGUGUGUAGGCGGGCCCGUAAGUGUCUUGUGAAAUCCCACGGCUCAACCGUGGAACUGCUGGGCAUACUGCGGGUCUUGGGCCAACUAGGGGCAGCCGGAACAAAUGGUGGAGCGGUGAAAUGCGUAGAUAUCAUUUGGAACGCCAAUGGUGAAAACAGGUAGCUGGGGAUGUGCUGACGCUGAGACACGAAAGCCAGGGGAGCAAACGGG
rnacentral:rRNA from 1 species